rnacentral:rRNA from 1 species
AUUGAACGCUGGCGGCAGGCCUAACACAUGCAAGUCGAGCGGUAACAGGACUAGCUUGCUAGUUGCUGACAAGCGGCGGACGGGUGCGUAACACGUAGGAAUCUACCCAGUAGCGGGGGAUAGCCCGGAGAAAUCCGGAUUAAUACCGCAUACGCCCUACGGGGGAAAGCAGGGGAUCUUCGGACCUUGCACUAUUGGAUGAACCUGCGCCGGAUUAGCUUGUUGGUGGGGUAAAAGCCCACCAAGGCGACGAUCCGUAGCUGGUCUUAGAGGAUGAUCAGCCACACUGGGACUGAGACACGGCCCAGACUCCUACGGGAGGCAGCA